rnacentral:rRNA from 1 species
AUGAACGCUGGCGGCGUGCUUAACACAUGCAAGUCGAACGGGAAACCUUUUAUUGAAGCUUCGCCAGAUUUAGCUGGUUUCUAGUGGCGGACGGGUGAGUAACGCGUGGGUAACCUGCCCUAUACAGGGGGAUAACAACCAGAAAUGGUUGCUAAUACCGCAUAAGCGCACAGGGCCGCAUGGUCCGGUGUGAAAAACUCCGGUGGUAUAGGAUGGACCCGCGUUGGAUUAGCCAGUUGGCAGGGUAACGGCCUACCAAAGCGGCGAUCCAUAGCCGGGCAGAGAGGGUGGACGGCCACAUUGGGACUGAGACACGGCCCAGACUCCUACGGGAUGCAGGAGUGGGGAAUAUUGCACAAUCGGGGAAACCCUGAUGCUGCGACGCCGCGUGAAGGAAGAAGUAUCUCGGUAUGUAAACUUCUAUCAGCAGGGAAGAUAGUGACGGUACCUGACUAAGAAGCCCCGGCUAACUACGUG